rnacentral:sRNA from 1 species
GCCUUUUUCCAGCACCACGCCGCAAUCGCAAUAGUCGCGGAUCGUGCCGGUGCUGUGCGAGACCAUGACCACAUCUGAAUCCUGCAGCCUGGUCUCGAAGACAGCCUGGCACUUUUUCU